rnacentral:rRNA from 1 species
GACGAACGCUGGCGGCGUGCUUAACACAUGCAAGUCGAACGGAAAGGCCCUGCUUGCGGGGUGCUCGAGUGGCGAACGGGGGAGUAAAACGUGGGUGAUCUGCCCUGCACUUCGGGGUAAACCUUGAAGACUGGGUCUAAUACAGGGGAGGAGCCCUCUUUCGGCAGAGUGUUGGAAGGAUUUUUCGGUGUGGGGUGAGCUCGCGGCCUUUUAGGUUGCUGGUGGGGGAAUGGGCUACCAAGGCGGCUGCGGGUGGCCAGCCUGGGUGGGGGGACCGCCACAUUGGGACUGGGGUACGGCCCAGACUCCUACGGGGGGCAAGCGUGGGGAAUAUUGCACAAUGGGCGCGAGCCUGAUGCAGCGACGCCGCGGGGGGGAUGACGGCCUUCGGGUUGGAAACUCCUUUCGCUAGGGACGAAGCUUUUUGUGACGGUACCUAGAUAAGAAGCACCGGCUAACUACGUG